rnacentral:lncRNA from 1 species
ACGGAGUCUGGCUCAAUCUCAGCCUAAUGCAACCUCUGCCUCCCAAAUUCAAGCAAUACUCCUGCCUCAGCCUUCCAAGUAGCUGGAACUACAGGUUAUGCACCACCACGCCCGAUUAAGUUUUGGAUUUUUAGUAGAGAUGGGGUUUCACCAUGUUGGUCAGGCUGGUCUCAAACUCCUGACCUCAAGUGGUCCACUUGCCAUGGGCUCCCAAUUACAGGCAUGAGCCACCAUGCCUGGCUGACAUGGUCCUUAUUCUUAAGGCAUGGCUUUCUGAUGUCUUAACUGGAUCUCCAGGUGUUAACAAGGCCUCUACACUCUGACUGAGCAAGAACUCCAGUAUCUUCUAGCACUACUUGACUUCUAGUAUUUUUGCUCCACUCUCAACCUCAUAACAGCCCUUCCUGGGACUUGCAGCUCAAGUAUAUCUGUGCUUCACUGGAAGAGUUGAAAGAGCUGGAGACUGUCUGUGAUCAAUGAGCCCCUGUCACUCUCAUGACACUUUCCUGAACCAUUUCACCAGCACUCAGGCAGAAGAGGAGGACAGCAGGUGAAGUCAGAGAGAUUCAAAGCACAAGGAUUCAACUUUCUGUUGCUGGCCUUGAAGAUGCAGGAGGCCAUGAGCCAAGGAAUGCAAGCAGCCUCUGGAAGUUGAAAACGACCUAAGUGCUCAGUCCUACAGCUGCAUGGAACUGAAAUCUGCCAACACCCUGAGUGAUCCGGAAGUGGAUUUUCUCCCAAAGCCUCCUGAUAGGAGCCCCAGCCAGCUGACAGAUUGACUUCAGCACUAUGACAUCAAAGAGCCCACCCAAGGCUGUUACUGGAAGGAGGGCCUUGAGUGUAAGUUAUUCAGUUUCUUGGCGUUUUGAACAAAGACUUGGACAAAACACACAAAGUAACAAAGGACUGAAACAUAGGAACGAAGUAGGGAAAGCAGGAAUGUAUUAAAGUGAAAAAGGACCCCACAGGGUGGGAGUCGGCCCAAGCAGGUGGCUCAAGGGCCCAGUUGCAAAGUUUUCUGGGUUUUAAGUUCUCCUGUUCAGAUUCCUAUUGGCUACCCUUUAUCUGGAUGAAGAAUUUGGCCUGUGGCUAAUUAAAGGAUGAAGUGAAUUGGUGUCCUAUGCGAUGAAGGGAUGGUCCCUGCUUGGUCCUCGGCCCAUCGAAGGCACUCUCCCUGUCCAUCUGAGACAUUGAGUAGCCUUUGCUCCUUUGCUACUCUGGAGCGGGGAGGUGGGGUUUUUCCUUUUGGUUUAGCUUUAGGAAGUUGGUUUAAUUGGCCUUAGCUUCCCUGACCGUAGACCCAGGUGCUAUCCUUUUGAUUCAGCUUUAGGAAGUCAGCACGAAUUGGCCUCAGAUUCCGUGUCCCCACACCUUGGUGUUUUUCCUGGAUUCAGCACCAAUUGUCCUUAAGUUCCCUGCCUCCAGACCCUUAUUCUCCUUCCUGAAGACAGCUUGAACUUCUGACCCACAGAACUAGGAGCUAAUAAAUGAGUGUAGUUUUAAGCCACCGAGUUUGGCAAUUUGUUACAACAGCUGUCGAAAAUGAAUGUAAUCUACAAAAUAGGAGACUGUCACUUAGGGGAGGGACAGUAAUGCGUUGUGAGCACCUGGAGGGCAGAAACUGGGUGUUAUUUAUUUGGAGGCCUUACAGCCUGAUAUGUAGUAAAUGCUCAAUAAAUAUAAGUGAAUGAAUCAAUGAAUAAAUGUUAAAAGGAUAAGCAAAGGAGC